UGAGGAAUAUUGGUCAAUGGGCGAGAGCCUGAACCAGCCAAGUAGCGUGCAGGAUGACGGCCCGAUGGGUUGUAAACUGCUUUUAUGUGGGGAUAAAGUGCGUGACGUGUCAUGCAUUGCAGGUACCACAUGAAUAAGGACCGGCUAAUUCCGUGCCAGCAGCCGCGGUAAUACGGAAGGUCCGGGCGUUAUCCGGAUUUAUUGGGUUUAAAGGGAGCGUAGGCUGACUAUUAAGCGUGUUGUGAAAUUUACCGGCUCAACCGGUGGCUUGCAGCGCGAACUGGUCGACUUGAGUAUGCAGGAAGUAGGCGGAAUUCAUGGUGUAGAGGUGAAAUGCUUAGAUAUCAUGACGAACUCCGAUUGCGCAGGCAGCUUACUGUAGCAUAACUGACGCUGAUGCUCGAAAGUGCGGGUAUCAAACAGG
rnacentral:rRNA from 1 species